AGAGCGAACGCUGGCGGCAGGCUUAACACAUGCAAGUCGAGCGGGCGUAGCAAUACGUCAGCGGCAGACGGGUGAGUAACGCGUGGGAACAUACCUUUUGGUUCGGAACAACACAGGGAAACUUGUGCUAAUACCGGAUAAGCCCUUACGGGGAAAGAUUUAUCGCCGAAAGAUUGGCCCGCGUCUGAUUAGCUAGUUGGUGAGGUAAUGGCUCACCAAGGCGACGAUCAGUAGCUGGUCUGAGAGGAUGAUCAGCCACAUUGGGACUGAGACACGGCCCAAAACUCCUACGGGAGGCAGCAGUGGGGAAUAUUGGACAAUGGGCGCAAGCCUGAUCCAGCCAUGCCGCGUGAGUGAUGGAAGGCCCUAGGGUUGUAAAAGGCUCUUUUGUGCGGGAAGAUAAUGACGGUACGCAAGAAUAAGCCCCGGAUAACUUCGCGCCAGCAGCCGC
rnacentral:rRNA from 1 species